GUUACGUAUUUUUACAUAAAUUUGGAAAGUAACUACACUUCAAAGCUGUCAUUCAGCUUUUCGUUUAAACCAAGGUUUAAACACGAAUUAAAAAACAAAUAUUUGUUUUUAAACAUACUGUACCUUAAUUCGUACUUUUGUGUUUGAACAAGGCGUUUUAAGUCUGCUCCAUAUAGGUUUUCUCGUUUCUACGCAAAGAAUCAUCCCAAAGAUGAUGUAUGAUAUAUGGUGUCACAACUCCCUUUAAUUCCCCAUAUAAAAAUGUCAACUGAACGCAAUGCUAGCAACAUGGCAAGGUCGGGAACUUUUUUGAACAUUGUUCAGCAGAUGGAGCUGUUCUACAAAUUUUUGACUAUUUUUCAAAUUUACGUCAUAAUGACACAUCAUAUUAAAUUCUGUGGUCUAAGGUUGUUUACGGUGUUUACGGCUAUCUACGAACCUGUGCCAGGAAUUAUAUUAGUUAAUGAAUCACAUGAACCACAUCAGCUAUCAUAAACAUAAAUAAAUUCAUAUCGGAGGCCCGAAAACAACUGUGAACGCAUUAUAAGGUGAUUGAUGUCUGUACAAACGGUAGUUGCACUUGAGUUUUCGAAAGUGUUAGAAAACAGCAACGCCAAAAACAACAAGUUGUGUAGAAAAAGCAUCAAUCCAUCGAGUAAUCUUUGUAAUCAAACCCAUUUGGAUGUAGGAACCAGCCUUGUUUCAAUGAUUUUAACUGAAAUUCCGCAUAACAUAAGAAAUGAGAGUAAUUAAUAAAGUUAUUAAUAUUUUUAAUCAAAACUACAGAUGAGAAGUAUAAAACACAAUAAGCAAAAUCAGUCUUUUAAUUAAUUACAGUUGGGUGUGAGUCUCUUAGGUAUGUAAGUGUGUGAAGUUGUCUUUGGGAGCCACUUUUUGCAAAAAAUUUACAUACACAAGUACCACUGAAAACACAAACCAUCACAAAAUAUCAGUUUGAUGUGCCCGUCACUCAGUUAAAGACCGGUAAUAGUCACUAUCUUCCCUUUUUCAGUAAAUUGAAUUUUAUCUGCCAAAAUGCUACUGUCACUGAAAUCAAAUUUGAAGCAUUUUUGAAGUUCAAAAUGUGAUCGGUAAUAAGGAUACCUUUAAAUCAAAUUCAAAAAGCGCUAUCUAAUGGCCAUUGUAUGAAAUGGUUCCCGACCUCGUCAGUUCGUUCCAGUUUAAAACAAAUGAAGGGAGUUGGAGCACCAUACCUUCUAACACCACCAUCCCAAAUAAGCUGUUUUUGACAUAACUGAAAUAAAAUUCAUUCUUUUGUGCCAGAUAUAGCGUUUUUGUUUAAAAUAAAGCUCAAUUCGUUCUUUUGUAGCCGAAUAAAACGUUUUUAGUCUGUUCAAUUAAGUUUCUUGUUCAAAACAAUGAAUUGUCCAAAAUAAACCGUUUCUGUUCAAACUGAUAAAUUAUUCGCCCUUUUGUGUCUGAACAAGAUGUUUUCAGUCUCUUUGAAGUUAGUUUUUUUGUUUCAAACAAAGAAUCAACGGAGAUAAUCCAUUUUAAUGCAAACUGCAACAUAAAACGUUUUUAUAAGGCGAAAUAUGACGUUUUCAGUCUGUUCAAUAAAAGUUUAGUUGUUUCGAAGCAAAGUAUUGUUCAAAAAUUGUUAUUCAAACUGUUACAUAAAUCGUCCUUUUGAGCCAGAAUAAGGCGUUUUCGUUGUGUUAUGUAAAUUUUUUUAUGUUUUAAAGCAAAGAAUUUUUUUAAAGAUGCUGUGUUUAACCAAACUGUACCUUAAUUCAUACUUUUGUGCCUGAUUAAGGCGUUUUCACUUUGUUCCGUAUGUUUUCUCGUUUCUAAAAAAAAACUGUUCGAAAUAUAAAGUUUUUAACCAAACUGUAAAUUAACUCGUUUUUUUUUCUACCUGAAUUCGGCAUUUUCAUUCAGUUUUUUACAAGUUUGCGCCUCUGUAGGCAAAGCAUUGACCGAAAUAAGCCAUUUUUGUCAAAACUACAGUCCGGGACAUUUCUAUUUGGACAUAAAAAAUUUGAAUUUUCUGACAUUUAUACGUGUAUUCAGCGUCUGUGUGAACAAAAAAUGUUCUCUCUCUCAUUCUAUGGUCCUUGAGCUUUAAUAACAGGGACAUUUUUUAAAUUGGUAGCAUUAGAAAAUGACAGUAAACAGCUGACUGAUGUAAACAAUAACACAAUAACAAAGGAAAUGUUAUAAUUUUAAUCUAUAUAACCAGUGGCUGCUUUAAAAGUGUGUACUAACGGGAUAAUAACAUAUUUACGCAAGUAUUUUUGAAGGUAGAAACAUUACUUGUCAUAUAACAACUACUCAGAUUAUAUGAUGAGACGGGAAUGGCACAAUACAGAAUUGCAGUCAGUGAUUGUGAUGGAGAAAGCUGCUGUGAAGUACUGACAGUACUGACUAUCGCUGGUUGUACGAUUUGUGCAAUUUGUGAUAUAUUUUGUGUGAAAAACUGGAAAAGAAAGUGCAUCACUGCAUAACCUCACUUAUCGCAGUUUUGCACAUUUUGAUGAUGGGAAUUGCGGUUCAAGUAAUUAUGAGUUAUAGAUGGAGAGCCCUGUUUACUUCAAACUGAAGCCUUUUGGGUCCACUUUGUUCCUGGCAGCCACUCUUGUUUCAAGCAGAGUGGGUGUAAAGUUAAAAAUAAUCCCGUAAAAUUGUUAAUAUAACUCCUUUGCACUGGCAUGGGGUAUUUGAAAACUUACGUUUAACAAAUACGUCACAAAGUCUCAGCCAUCGUCGAAAAAUAUAAUAAGGGCUUUAUAACAAGAAGCGCUUUCUGAUUUUACUGUGGACGUGUGGAAGAAUAGUGUGAAAUAUUGCGAAAAACCAACUUUUACUCUUGUUUACAUUUUUGUACGUCUCUAUCUGAGAGUAGUCUCUUGUAUAAAAAAUAUAGCCUACUAAUAAAGGAAAUUAAAGUGU